GGGGAAUAUUGCGCAAUGGGGGAAACCCUGACGCAGCAACGCCGCGUGGAGGAUGAAGGCCUUCGGGUUGUAAACUCUUGUCCUCUGGGACGAUAAUGACGGUACCAGAGGAGGAAGCCACGGCUAACUACGUGCCAGCAGCCGCGGUAAUACGUAGGUGGCAAGCGUUGUCCGGAUUUACUGGGCGUAAAGGAUGCGUAGGCGGAUAUUUAAGUGGGAUGUGAAAUACCCGAGCUCAACUUGGGUGCUGCAUUCCAAACUGGAUAUCUAGAGUGCGGGAGAGGAGAGUGGAAUUCCUAGUGUAGCGGUGAAAUGCGUAGAGAUUAGGAAGAACACCAGUGGCGAAGGCGACUCUCUGGACCGUAACUGACGCUGAGGCAUGAAAGCGUGGGGAGCAAAC
rnacentral:rRNA from 1 species